rnacentral:rRNA from 1 species
GCUAGCAGCGAUAGAGCGUGGAAUACAUCAGGUUAUUCAGUUCCCGAUGGACCACUGAAGAUAAUCAACGUUGCGCGUGGUUGGUAUCAGGCUGGGUGACCGUCAGGGAAAUGGCGUGCUUUUGGCU